rnacentral:rRNA from 1 species
CCUACGGGGGGCAGCAGUGAGGAAUAUUGGUCAAUGGGCGAGAGCCUGAACCAGCCAAGUCGCGUGAGGGAGUACUGCCCUAUGGGUUGUAAACCUCUUUUGUCGGGGAGCAAAAGCCGGACGUGUCCGUCUGUGAGAGUACCCGAAGAAAAAGCAUCGGCUAACUCCGUGCCAGCAGCCGCGGUAAUACGGAGGAUGCGAGCGUUAUCCGGAUUUAUUGGGUUUAAAGGGUGCGCAGGCGGAUUUUUAAGUCAGCGGUCAAAUCGUGGGGCUCAACCCCAUCCAGCCGUUGAAACUGGGGAUCUAGAGUGUGCGAGAGGUAUGCGGAAUGCGUGGUGUAGCGGUGAAAUGCAUAGAUAUCACGCAGAACCCCGAUUGCGAAGGCAGCAUACCGGUGCACAACUGACGCUCAGGCACGAAAGCGUGGGUAUCGAACAGGA